rnacentral:rRNA from 1 species
AGUAACACGUGAGCAACCUGCCUUUCAGUGGGGGGACGAACAUUUGGAAACGAAUGCUAAUACCGCAUAAGACCACAGUGUCGCAUGGCACAGGGGUCAAAGGAUUUAUCCGCUGAAAGAUGGGCUCGCGUCCGAUUAGCUAGAUGGUGAGGUAACGGCCCACCAUGGCGACGAUCGGUAGCCGGACUGAGAGGUUGAACGGCCACAUUGGGACUGAGACACGGCCCAGACUCCUACGGGAGGCAGCAUG